AGUGGCGGACGGGUGAGUAACGCGUGAGAAUCUGCCUUGGGGUCGGGGACAACCACUGGAAACGGUGGCUAAUACCGGAUAAGCCGAUUGGUGAAAGAUUUAUUGCCCGAAGAGGAGCUCGCGUCUGAUUAGCUAGUUGGUGAGGUAAGAGCUCACCAAGGCAGCGAUCAGUAGCUGGUCUGAGAGGACGAUCAGCCACACUGGGACUGAGACACGGCCCAGACUCCUACGGGAGGCAGCAGUGGGGAAUUUUCCGCAAUGGGCGAAAGCCUGACGGAGCAAGACCGCGUGAGGGAGGAAGGCUCUUGGGUUGUAAACCUCUUUUCUCAGGGAAGAAGCUCUGACGGUACCUGAGGAAUCAGCCUCGGCUAACUCCGUGCCAGCAGCCGCGGUAAUACGGAGGAGGCAAGCGUUAUCCGGAAUUAUUGGGCGUAAAGCGUCCGCAGGUGGCGAUUCAAGUCUGCUGUCAAAGCACGGGGCUUAACUCCGUAAAGGCAGUGGAAACUGAAUAGCUAGAGUGCCGUAGGGGUAGAGGGAAUUCCCGGUGUAGCGGUGAAAUGCGUAGAGAUCGGGAAGAACAUCGGUGGCGAAAGCGCUCUACUGGACGGCAACUGACACUCAGGGACGAAAGCUAGGUGAGCGAAUGGGAUUAGAUACCCC
rnacentral:rRNA from 1 species